GCUGUGGAUAGGGGUGAAAGGCUAAACAAAAUCCGGAAAUAGCUGGUUCUCCCCGAAAACUAUUUAGGUAGUGCGUCACAUAUCACUUCCGGGGGUAAAGCACUGUUAUGGCUAGGGGGUCAUCGCGACUUACCAAACCAUGGCAAACUCUGAAUACCGGAAAGUGCGAGUGUGGCAGACAGACAGUGGGUGCUAACGUCCAUUGUCAAGAGGGAAACAACCCAGACCGCCAGCUAAGGUCCCCAAGACACAGUUAAGUGGGAAACGAAGUGGGAAGGCAUAGACAGCUAGGAGGUUGGCUUAGAAGCAGCCACCCUUUAAAGAAAGCGUAAUAGCUCACUAGUCGAGUCGUCCUGCGCGGAAGAUGUAACGGGGCUCAAACUGUGCACCGAAGCUGCGGAUAUCGAAAGAUAUGGUAGGGGAGCGUUCUGUAGGUCUGUGAAGGUGUCUUGU
rnacentral:rRNA from 1 species